GUUUAUUCAUUAUAUGUUAAUAAGGUCCAUUUCCACCAAGGUCAAAUAACACAGUUUUGACUUUCCUAAGAAGGUAAAGCCUAUAACAUAAGUAAUUGUUAUUGAUGAUAUACAAGCAUAUAUUUUUAGACUUUUCAGGAAAUUGCUGUCAUCAUUUAGCCCUAAUGAAUGAUUCAUUUAGCUGCAAUUAUUCUCUAAACUUUAUUGACGGGAAUUUGAUAACUUUUCUUAUACUGAAGAAAUACAUAGUAUUAUACGUUUGUAGAGUUAUAAGAGAGUAGGAAACACAGCCCUUUCCCUCAGAGGGUUGCAGAGCUUUGUAUUAAUCAAAAAGACUAUAGACUAGAAGUCGUUGAAAUUAAAAUCUAAACUAUCUGUGCAUGCUAUUAAAUUCCACAUACCCAGCACCAGUAUUUGGUAUACGGUAGUUACUCCAUAAAAAUUUGUUGAUUAUGGGGAUUGAGCAGUGCUAUUUCUUUGUUAUUAAAACAGAAAAUAACUUGAUUAAAAUUAUAAUUGUUUUGAACAGGUUAAAUUCAUAUCCAGAAUUAGCUUAAAAUAGAAUAAUCAGAAUGGAGUAAAACUUGAAAAUUGCUAAGAUAUUGGCUCCUUUAUGGUAAUUUUUUUCUAUUUUUAGACAAAUAUUUUGACAUGAGGAAGAACCAAUGCAGGGAAAGUUUGGAUAUUUACAUCAAGUUCCUUGGAGGAACAACCAAAUUGACACAGUUUCUGAAAGUUGCAGAGGUACCCCACGGUUUACUUGAAGUACUAAAACAACAUUUAGCUUCUUUGGAAGAGAACAAUGACACUUUACCUCCUUACUGUGUGCCUCAUAUUUAUUGUGAUCUUUUAAGUCUCCAACCUGCAAUGACUCCAUCCUUCCCAAAUAGUCCAGUUGUGACAGCUUCAGCAAGCAGAGCUUGGUUUGCAGAUUAUUUUGACUACAUGAUACAUUACAACCAUCAUUAUCUUCGCAAGCCCACGAACCUGUUGGAACCAGACAGCAAGGUGGAACGAUUAUAG
rnacentral:lncRNA from 1 species